rnacentral:lncRNA from 1 species
AUGACAUCUGCUUAUGAAAAAUACCACAGGGGAUAAAGAAACAGGAAGACAAGAGAGUGAUCUAAGAGGAGGAAGAGAAAAUCAGAAUGAACAGGAAACUAGAUAAUGCUGUGUGUUCAUGCAUGCUAAAAUUUUUAACCUUCUUGAAGUCUAAAAGGCAGGAAAAUAGAGUCUUCUGGCUACUUCAGCGUUGUAAGUGAUUGUUUGGCACAAAAUACAUUUCCAGUCUGCUGAAACACAGGCCUCAUCUUGGGCAAUGAACAGGUAAGUUGCAGCAAGCUUCAUUAUUAUCCCCCCACUAUUCGUUUUUGUUUGUUUUUUUUUUGGUGGGGGGGAUUGGGUAGAGUUGCUUCCAGAGCACCUUUCCAACCUAAAUUAUUCUGAUUUUAUGUCUAUGCUUCUUCCACUUUGCAGAAAUAACUGAAUGUGCCAGAAAAUUACAGCCAUAGAUUUAGAGACAGUAUCUAUUUAUAUGCCAGACUGAGUACUGCAAAUGCUUUGCCUACCAUUUUACAUGCUUUAAGAAGGAAUAGGCAAGGUAGGCAAUAAGAACUGACAGGACAUUCACCUGCUGCAUAUGUAGUUCACCCAAAGGUCAAACUCAUAAUCCAAGUACUAUCCAUUAACUAAAUAGUUACAUCAAGAAGACAUCUGAGGUAUCUAACUCUUCAGUGAGAGCAUAAGGAAACAUCUAGAGAUACCAGAAUCCCAAGUAAAUGAAGAAGCCAGUUAACUGAUAUCUUUUGUGUCCACCUUAUUUGGAAGUCCACCUUUUCAUUUUCCACUGACUAGACAACAAACUGACAAGGCUAACACAGCUGUCCAGUAACAAAGACAAAGAUUUAAAGGAACAAAAAUGCUUAAAAAUACAGCCAACAGAAAGAUGUCCGUGCGCACAGUGGCAUAUCUUCCAGGUCUCAAACAAACUGAUACCACUCAAAGGUGCUGCAAAGAAGAAAAGGCCCAGGCCAUCCUCUUGAGAUUCUCUUCCACGGGAGCAGAAGACAGACAACAAUCAACAGAGUCUAGUUUACAGAAAUCGUUUUAAUGCAGUACCGAUCUGCCUUCCAUGGGGAUGGAAUUCACAGUUCAGAUGUCCUCUGCCCCAAUAGAAAAGGGACGACCUUUAGAAGACCCAACACCAUCAAAAGGACAGGAAGCAAUAGAAAAAAGUUUGAGAGGUGUAAAUUGGAUACAAAAUCUAUGAGGCUCAUAUCAAGGUGCCAAAGAUAGGGAUGAAAAAACAGACAAACAAGCAAACAUUGUUUUAUUAGGCAAAAACAGAAAAUAACCUUGCAACAUUCAACAGAGCUGGAAUUACUGAAAACUGUUAAGACACUGAAGUUAUAUUUAAGGAAGCUUCAAGUGAGCGCUGAAGAAUGGUGCUUUGUCAAAAAAAAAAGAUAUUAUUUAUUUUUGCACUAUAGACAGCUCAGGAGAACAGGAUAAUUAAUGUUUAUGGAUCAGUAUCCUAAGAGAUAAAGCAUACAUGUGAACCUGUUAGAUCAAAACAUAAAAUGAGGGAAAAAAAUUAUCUUUCACAGAGGACUUCAGCCCAGUGAUAUGUACUGGAUAUGCUGCCAUCAUCAACUGAAAUUUCUAAAUAUCACACAACUUCUUAACUGAAAAUGAAGGAAGUAACCUGUGUAAAUGUUUUUUAGUCUUCCAGAUGUCAGUCUCAGAUGAACUAACAGAAUGGUCAAUACAAAAGUCAUUAACAAUGAAUUAAAGGUGAAAAUAUAACUUAUAUGUCUGCAAAAUAGAUCCUGUCAAGCUAAGCUGACGUCAUUUCUUGAUUGGAUGACUUUUCUGGAUGCAGGAAAUAGUUAAAUGUAAAUCCACGAAUGGCAUUUUGAUAAACAAAAUAUAAAGAUCUAGACAUGGCACAAAAGGAUGGUUGCCUGCAAGCAAUUGUAAGUGACUUAUCACACGAUUUAUCAGAGACAGGUCUCCUGAAGUUCCAAAUAUUUAUUUGCUAUACAUCAUUUUUCCUUAGUAACCAAAAAAAAAAAAAAACAGCACUGUUUACAGAUACUACGAAAUGAGAACAUGUGGUAAAUUUGAACUGGCAUAUCAGCUGGGAGCAAGCAAAUAAUAUAUUCAGGUUAACCAUGUCCAGAGGCAAAGUGGACUACAUCUUAGUGUAAAUCAUUGCUGAGGAUAGCAUAACCCCACUAGGAGGUUAGUCAUGGUCCAGGUGGUUACUUCACUUUAAAUGUAGCGCCACUGGCCAAGGAGGGGAUAUAAGCAGGGAGUUCAGUGGUUACAGGCAACUAACACACAGGAUUUGCUUAUAAUGUCCCGGCCAGAUCCAGAUAGGUGAAAGAUGGAUGGAAGAGGCAGCAGGUGAAAACUAAAGCCCUUACAUGGCUAGCAGGAGACCACUAUUGUGCAUGUUUAUCAUAUAGCUCCUUAUCCGUUUCAUCUACAUUGCUGAAAGCUUUGAACUUACUCUCUAAAUACAUCUUUUAAUACAACCUAGCAUAACAGUACAACUGGGAACAAAGAACACAAGACAUGUUCUUUGUAAACAGAAGAAAGUCUGCCCUGCUUAAAUGAAAGUUAUCACUCUGAAGAUUAGCCAAAAAGGCUAACCUCAGGAUAACAGUGUCAACCUUUUUUAGAUUUCACUGUUCAGUUCUGAUAAUCAGAUAUGAAGAAGAAUAUUAAAGAGAAUUCAAAGAGUUAUGAGAGUUAUUAAAGCAUUCGAAGAUAUACUUUGAAGCUCAGGGAGAUCAACCAGAUGACAUUGUAUGAGAGAAGUCAGGGGAUAUUUGUAUUUGUCUUUAAAUAUUAGAAACAAAUAACAGCUUCUUCAAUCUAGUAAACAAAAGCUAGUGACUGCAAAUGUAAGGGAAAUACAUUCUGAGCAAAAACAUAUACAUAUUUUUACUUCUCUUUUGGAAGAGUGAGAACACUGGAACAGUUUAUCAUCAUAAGUUCACCAUCACUAGGAAAUUUAAAAUCACAAGUGUGUGUUUUAUUUUGAAUUCUAUUUCAAUUUUUUUUUUUGGAACCCUUCGAAUUCCAUUUUAUAUUAUAGAAAAGGAAAAAAAUGAUGACUGCAGUGGAACCCCUUGCUUUUACAAUGAAAGAUCUAAAGAAAAAUUUCAUGGCGUCGCAUUAAAAAUAUCUAAUUAGAUUUGCAAAGAUUAUAGAUAAAAUAGGGUAUUAAAAAAAAAAAAAACCCUCCUGAAAAGUCCUCUCAUGGAGGAAAUUAGUUUACAGCCUUCAAUUAUCUCCAAAAAAAGUGGAGAGGGUGCUUAAUAGAUCACAUUCCCAAAUAUUCUUAGAUAUAAAUUAUGGAUGUGUGCAUUUGUGUGCAUGCAGUUACACAACUUCAGAAGUCAAAAAGAUCAAAUUAUUUACUCAGUAUUUCUGUGUUGACAUCUGACAUUCCAAAGAAUCACUGCAAAGAUUGAAUGAACAUAUUUGAUACUUUCUGACUACUGACUACUUCUGAGAAACUACUCAUGCCUACUCAUGACUACUCUUCUCAUGACUGCUUCUGAGAAAUUGGUACAGGUAUGGUACCUUUGAGCUGAAUUUACAACAGGACAUAUUCAGACAAAUUCUAAUCAAAAUUUAACUUAGUGUCAGGAAAGUAUUUCUACUAUUGUUGAAGGUUAUUCUUCCUACGAGAGAAGGGAAAAAAAUAUUUAUGUUUUACAGAAUAAGUUACUAGCUGAUUUGUUUCAGUUUUUAAUAUUCAUGUCAUUUAUAGAUAACAUAUUUAUAGGAAGCAGCUCUUUAUCCAUCAUGCAUCCUUCACUGGACUGAUCAAUACAAAAGCAAACCAUUUUAACUAUAAGAUUAGACAAUAGUUUCUUAAAAGAAUUCUGGAUCAGUUUUUACUUAGCUCGAAGAUGUAUCAAUAUUCAUGGAUUUAAAUUUGACUGAAAGGUUUGAUUUGAUUCAAGGGCUUGUUUGGAUAUAUUUUUCCCCCAACAUCCUUCAGGAGGAUGCUAACUGAAUUAAUGAUAGCAUUAAAUACAUCUGCCUCUUUUUUCAUUUCUAACAUGUUCAUAAAAAACUGUUCUUUCAACAAAUAAAGGUGAUGAG